rnacentral:rRNA from 1 species
GAUGAACGCUGGCGGCGUGCCUAAUACAUGCAAGUCGAGCGAACGGACGAGAAGCUUGCUUCUCUGAUGUUAGCGGCGGACGGGUGAGUAACACGUGGAUAACCUACCUAUAAGACUGAGAUAACUUCGGGAAACCGGAGCUAAUACCGGAUGAUAUUUUGAACCGCAUGGUUCAAAAGUGAAAGACGGUCUUGCUGUCACUUAUAGAUGGAUCCGCGCUGCAUUAGCUAGUUGGUAAGGUAACGGCUUACCAAGGCAACGAUGCAUAGCCGACCUGAGAGGGUGAUCGGCCACACGGGAACUGAGACACGGUCAAGACUCCUACGGGAGGCAGCAGUAGGGAAUCUUCCGCAAUGGGCGAAAGCCUGACGGAGCAACGCCGAGUGAGUGAUGAAGGUCUUCGGAUCGUAAAACUCUGUUAUUAGGGAAGAACAUAUGUGUAAGUAACUGUGCACAUCUUGACGGUACCUAAUCAGAAAGCCACGGCUAACUACGUG